rnacentral:rRNA from 1 species
GGGCUUGACAUCCCACGAACCUGCCUGAAAGGGUGGGGUGCCCGCAAGGGAGCGUGGAGACAGGUGGUGCAUGGCUGUCGUCAGCUCGUGUCGUGAGAUGUUGGGUUAAGUCCCGCAACGAGCGCAACCCUCACCCCUAGUUGCGACCGGGUUAUGCCGAGCACUCGAGGGGAACUGCCAGCGUCAAGCUGGAGGAAGGCGGGGAUGACGUCAAGUCAUCAUGCCCCUUACGCCCUGGGCUACACACGUGCUACAAUGGCCAGUACAAAGGGAUGCGAGACUGCGAAGUGGAGCUAAUCCCAAAAAGCUGGUCUAAGUUCAGAUUGCAGUCUGCAACUCGACUGCAUGAAGGAGGAAUCGCUAGUAAUCGCGCAUCAGCACGGCGCGGUGAAUACGUUCCCGGGCCUUGUACACACCGCCCGUCACACCACGAAAGCUGUCUGUACUCGAAGUCGCUGAG